AUAUAAUCAUUUACAGGUCGAACAGAGCAACGGAGCAUACAAUACAAGAGACGAGGAAGAGGUCCAUCAGCCACAUCUCAUGGGUCAAAGACCCGAUUCCUGUUCUCAGCGGCCAGAGAUGAAGAAGAGUUGAGUGAGUCCAGGGCCCACCCUUCUCCCACCCGCUCACGUUCUCCACUCCCUGCUGGUGAAAGAGGUCGAACAGCUCAACGGGGCAGACAUCAGCCUCAGAGACGAGGAAGAGGUCGGACAACAGCCUCUUGUGGGCGUGGCGUGGCUGCUCACCAUAGGACAUCUCCAGCUCCUCAUCCCGAGUGGUGUGACACAAACUGGCAGCCAAAAAACAUUCCUUUUAAUGCAAAUCCGGGACCUGCAAGUAAAGCUGCUGCUCUUGAAUCUGAAAAUCCUGUUGAUUUUGUUGAGUUGUUCCUUUCUGAUGAGCUGAUCCAGAACAUUGUAAUUCAGACAAACUUGUAUGCACAACAGUAGAUUGAAGCUGAGCAGCA